AGACGGGGGGCGCAAGCGUUGUUCGGAAUUACUGGGCGUAAAGGGCGGGCAGGCGGUUUGCUCAGUCUUCUGUGAAAAUCCGGGGCUCAACCCCGCGAAAUGCAGAAGAUACUGGCAGACUAGAGACUGGUAGAGGCUAGCGGAAUUCCUGGUGUAGCGGUGGAAUGCGUAGAUAUCAGGAAGAACACCUGUGGCGAAGGCGGCUAGCUGGGCCAGAUCUGACGCUCAUCCGCGAAAGCGUGGGGAGCAAACAGGAUUAGAAACCCCAGUAGUCC
rnacentral:rRNA from 1 species